rnacentral:rRNA from 1 species
GAUGAACGCUGGCGGCGUGCCUAAUACAUGCAAGUCGAGCGAACGGACGAGAAGCUUGCUUCUCUGAUGUUAGCGGCGGACGGGUGAGUAACACGUGGAUAACCUACCUAUAAGACUGGGAUAACUUCGGGAAACCGGAGCUAAUACCGGAUAAUAUUUUGAGCCGCAUGGUUCAAAAGUGAAAGAUGGUCUUGCUGUCACUUAUAGAUGGAUCCGCGCUGCAUUAGCUAGUUGGUAAGGUAACGGCUUACCAAGGCAACGAUGCAUAGCCGACCUGAGAGGGUGAUCGGCCACACUGGAACUGAGACACGGUCCAGACUCCUACGGGAGGCAGCAGUAGGGAAUCUUCCGCAAUGGGCGAAAGCCUGACGGAGCAACGCCGCGUGAGUGAUGAAGGUCUUCGGAUCGUAAAACUCUGUUAUUAGGGAAGAACAUAUGUGUAAGUAACUGUGCACAUCUUGACGGUACCUAAUCAGAAAGCCACGGCUAACUACGUGCCAGCAGCCGCGGUAAUACGUAGGUGGCAAGCGUUAUCCGGAAUUAUUGGGCGUAAAGCGCGCGUAGGCGGUUUUUUAAGUCUGAUGUGAAAGCCCACGGCUCAACCGUGGAGGGUCAUUGGAAACUGGAAAACUUGAGUGCAGAAGAGGAAAGUGGAAUUCCAUGUGUAGCGGUGAAAUGCGCAGAGAUAUGGAGGAACACCAGUGGCGAAGGCGACUUUCUGGUCUGUAACUGACGCUGAUGUGCGAAAGCGUGGGGAUCAAACAGGAUUAGAUACCCUGGUAGUCCACGCCGUAAACGAUGAGUGCUAAGUGUUAGGGGGUUUCCGCCCCUUAGUGCUGCAGCUAACGCAUUAAGCACUCCGCCUGGGGGUACGACCGCAAGGUUGAAACUCAAAGGAAUUGACGGGGACCCGCACAAGCGGUGGAGCAUGUGGUUUAAUUCGAAGCAACGCGAAGAACCUUACCAAAUCUUGACAUCCUUUGACAACUCUAGAGAUAGAGCCUUCCUCUUCGGGGGACAAAGUGACAGGUGGUGCAUGGUUGUCGUCAGCUCGUGUCGUGAGAUGUUGGGUUAAGUCCCGCAACGAGCGCAACCCUUAAGCUUAGUUGCCAUCAUUAAGUUGGGCACUCUAAGUUGACUGCCGGUGACAAACCGGAGGAAGGUGGGGAUGACGUCAAAUCAUCAUGCCCCUUAUGAUUUGGGCUACACACGUGCUACAAUGGACAAUACAAAGGGCAGCGAAACCGCGAGGUCAAGCAAAUCCCAUAAAGUUGUUCUCAGUUCGGAUUGCAGUCUGCAACUCGACUACAUGAAGCUGGAAUCGCUAGUAAUCGUAGAUCAGCAUGCUACGGUGAAUACGUUCCCGGGUCU